rnacentral:rRNA from 1 species
GAUGAACGCUGGCGGCGUGCCUAAUACAUGCAAGUCGAGCGAACAGACGAGGAGCUUGCUCCUCUGACGUUAGCGGCGGACGGGUGAGUAACACGUGGAUAACCUACCUAUAAGACUGGGAUAACUUCGGGAAACCGGAGCUAAUACCGGAUAAUAUAUUGAACCGCAUGGUUCAAUAGUGAAAGACGGUUUUGCUGUCACUUAUAGAUGGAUCCGCGCCGCAUUAGCUAGUUGGUAAGGUAACGGCUUACCAAGGCAACGAUGCGUAGCCGACCUGAGAGGGUGAUCGGCCACACUGGAACUGAGACACGGUCCAGACUCCUACGGGAGGCAGCAGUAGGGAAUCGUACGCAAUGGGCGAAAGCAUGACGGAGCAACGCCGCGUGAGUGAUGAAGGUCUUCGGAUCGUAAAACUCUGUUAUUAGGGAAGAACAAAUGUGUAAGUAACUAUGCACGUCUUGACGGUACCUAAUAAGAAAGCCACGGCUAACUACGUG